ACCUGAAGUUGCCAGCAGCCUCGUAUCAGUGUGAAUCUUCCACUCUGACGCAACAGCUUAAGUACAUGGAAACGUCUUUGUGAAGUCAAAUGACUUCUUUAAGGUAUUUGCUCUACAGCUUCAACUUCCUUUCUCUCCUUCUUCCCCCUGGCUCCAGUUCUGAACUUUUUUAUGUUUCUGUAAGGUGGAGCUAACAAUACUUGGUAAUAACACCACAUACGUUGAACUUUCUGCAGCGACCCACUGAGAAACUAACUCCCUGCUGUGAGGAAUUUGCAAGAAAUCUGCAUUAUAGUAAUUGUUCGCUGUAAUUUUCUGCAAAGACUGAUCUCACAGAAAAAUUGUGUCAUUUCUUUUUUUUUUUUUUCCAGUUGCUGUUGUAUAAUUAAUAUUGCAUGCUAAUAUACAGGACUUGAAAUUACCCAUAUUUAAUAAAACAUGACAAAAUUCAAACUGUGUAACUUCU
rnacentral:lncRNA from 1 species